GGGGGGUUCGUAUCCCUUAGCUUACACCA
rnacentral:misc_RNA from 1 species